rnacentral:rRNA from 1 species
GACGAACGCUGGCGGCGUGCCUAAUACAUGCAAGUCGAACGCAGUGGGGACGGGUGAGUAACACGUGGGUAACCUCCCCAUCUGAGGGGAGAACACUUGGAAACUGGUGCUAAACCCAUACUGAUGGAUCAACCCGGGGUGGUUUAGCUAGUUGGUGGGGUAACGGCUCACCAAGGCUACGAUGCAUAGCCGACCUGAGAGGGUGAUCGGCCACACUGGGACUGAGACACGGCCCAGACUCCUACGGGAGGCAGCAGUGGGGAAUCUUGGGCAAUGGACGAAAGUCUGAUCAAGCAACGCCGCGUGAGUGAAGAAGGUCUUCGGAUCGUAAAGCUCUGUUGUUAGAGAAGCGGUAUCUAACCAGAAAGCCACGGCUAACUCCGUGCCAGCAGCCGCGGUAAUUC